UAUAGUUAUGGUAAAUAGAUUGUAAAAACAAAAACUAUAAAUAACUGCUAAGUAGAUAAAAUAAAAUAAAAAUAAAAUCAUAAAGGUGUAUUGUCCAGUGCUGUCUUCUCUGGCUGUCUUGUGCCCCUCAUCUUGAUGAACUCGUAUAUAUAUAAUCAGAAUACUCAUUAAUGCAACAAGACACAACAGCAGGCAGCAUAUCUAGGAGUCACUACUAGGACAUUAAUGCAGAGAUUGGAUGAACAUAAAAAAGACAUUGUUAUAGGAAAACUAACCAUGGCUCUAGCGAUUGAAGCAUAUGACAAUCACAUAAAAAUACAAUGGAGGCAAGUUAGAAUAAUUAAGCCAGUCACUAUAAAAUCCCAGGCAAUAGUAGAAGAGACCAUUGAGAUGAUUAAGAGGCAAGAAAAAGACAAACUCAUUAAUGAUAGAACAGCAAUAGAGCUACCAAUGCCAUGGAAAUAUCUACAGUCUGUCUUGGUUAAGAAA
rnacentral:lncRNA from 1 species